AUGCCGGGAAAGGAAGAUGCCUCGGGUGGUGGGGCUGAUGGUUCUCAGGACCCGUGCCAGCUGGCAAAUGGUCGGAGAAUGUACUGGCGGUCAGCAUCAUGGUCGUCUUCGAGGACUUCAUUGCCUCCGCUUAACCCAGAUAUCGAAAAAGAUGGGUUGGAUCCAAAUGGAAGUAGUAAUUGUUCUCAGGGUAGGAGGCAGCCUUUAACCCCUAGGUCGAGUUUCAAGGCUAGGUCGUGUCUGCCACCGUUGCAGCCAUUAGCAAUUGCUCGUAGAAGUCUGGAUGAGUGGCCGAGAGCAGGAUCCGAUGAUAUUGGAGAGUGGGGACCACUUCCUUCUACCCCCAGUAGUGAGAGGCUUAAGUUGGAUUUGUCAAACAUACAUAAAAAUCCACCAGAGACUAACGGUGGGCUUGUGAGAAGAGAAAAGAUUGCUUUUUUCGAUAAAAAGUGUUCGAAGGUGGCCGAGCAUGUUUAUCUAGGCGGGGAUGCGGUUGCAAGAGAUAAAGAUAUACUAAAGCAAAAUGGAAUUACACAUGUUCUUAACUGUGUAGGGUUCGUAUGCCCUGAGUAUUUCAAGUCCGAUUUCGUAUACCGGACUUUGUGGUUGCAAGAUAGCCCGUCGGAAGAUAUUACUAGCAUUCUUUAUGAUGUUUUCGACUACUUUGAAGAUGUCAGGGUGCAAAAUGGACGAGUUUUCGUUCAUUGCUGCCAAGGGGUUUCCCGGUCGACCUCGUUAGUUAUUGCUUAUCUUAUGUGGAGAGAAGGACAAAGUUUCGACGAUGCAUUUGAGUAUGUAAAGGCUGCGAGGGGUAUUGCGGAUCCCAAUAUGGGUUUCGCUUGUCAGUUGCUACAAUGCCAAAAAAGGGUUCAUGCUUUUCCUUUGAGCCCGAGUUCGUUAUUAAGGAUGUAUAGAGUUGCGCCUCAUUCGCCGUAUGAUCCCUUGCAUCUCGUCCCGAAAAUGUUAAACGAUCCCUCUCCAUCGGGAUUAGAUUCCAGAGGUGCAUUUAUUAUACAUAUACCUUCUGCGAUAUAUGUUUGGAUUGGUAAGAAAUGUGAAGCAAUGAUGGAAAGAGACGCCAGAGGGGCUGUCUGCCAGAUUGUUCGUUAUGAGAAAGUGCAGGGCCCGAUCAUAACUGUUACGGAAGGUGAGGAACCUUUGUACUUCUGGGAUGCCUUUUCCAAUUUCCUUCCGUUGAUGGACAAAUUAAAGAACGGAAGGGACGUUGUUGAGUCGUCGAGUAAAGUUUGCCCAGGGGAAAGAAAGGUGGAUAUGUACAAUGUUGACUUUGAGAUUUUCCAAAAAGCUACUUCGGGUGGCUUUGUGCCUCCUGUUUCUUCAUGCGAGACUGAACAUGAAAUUGAAACCCGCCUUCCUGUUAGAGAAAGUUCUUGGAGUAUGCUAAGGCGAAAGUUUGUUUCCGGGAAUAUGAAGGAUUUUGUCUUUUCAACAAAGUCUGGUAUCUCUAGAAUCUAUCCUGAUGAUUCUAUGUUUGCAACUAAACAACUAAAUUCUUCUUCAAUGUUGUCUUCAUCGUCUUCAUGUUCAUCUUCUUCAUCAUCAGCCUCACCUUAUCUCUCUCCGGACUCGAUCUCGUCUGAUUCGAGCAUCAAUUCGAAAUGUCUUUCUGAUUCUCCACUUGUGUCACCUUCAAUCAUCCCUUCCAAGAUUUCUCCACAGUCCAUAUCUAAGACUUCAAAGUAUAUCGAUGUCAACUUCACUUCCCCAAAGACUUCUUCACAAUCGGCUCCUGCGCUAUCUAAAAAGUUUCCCCUUUCUAUCGCCGAGCGGAGAGGCAGCUUGUCGAAGUGUCUCAGGCUGCCAAUGCUGACUGAAGUGAAAAACGAGUCUUUAAAUGAAGCAGCGACUGGAGGCGAGAUUUUACAGUCCCCACAAGAGAUAAAGGGGAGUAAAAUCGAUGAACUGCAAAGGUCUUUAGAGAUUCUAAGCAUUGUUAAUCCAUCUGAUAAAGAAGCUUCUGUUUUUAGUGGCUUUCAUGAGUCAUGGGAGGAAAAACCUGUUGUAUAUCGGUGGCCCAGCUUGGAGAAACUUGCUACUUGUAGCAUUGAUGAUUUGGAUUCUAAGGGUGCAUAUAUUUUCAUUGUUCCAACUUCAGGUUUUGGAAAAGAGGCAGGUAAAACUGUGUAUGUUUGGGUAGGAAGGUCUUUUAGUUGUGAGAUUAGCAAGAUUCGGCAAGUAAACCGCAAAGGGCUUGUUGGUGAUCCAGGGGAGAUUGACUGGAAACAGGCUGCUAUAGAUGUUCUUCAUCAAAUGGUUCUGCCAAUUGACACUAACAUUAAGGUUGUGAAAGAAAAUGAAGAGCCUGCUGAGUUCCUAGCAUUAUUGAGUUAGCCGUAAAGCUAACAUGAUUGAGGACGCAUCACGAAUGCCAGUAGAUGAUUUCCUCUUCCGUACAGUUUCAGCUUCCAAAAUUUUCCUGCUACAAUUUUCUAGCUUUUGAGUGAUGUCCACCUGGCUAUAUUAUGUAGGGGGCUGCUUUUAGAAGUUGUCAGAGGUGGUUCACCUGAAUGUACAUGUACAGUGCUGCAACACCCGAUGACCCUUAGAGGCAAUUUGCUGACUUAACUUUUCAUUGUAAAUUUGCCAUGACUUAGAAAUUAGAAAUUUCAAUGCCAGUUUAGGCAACAUAGUUCUUAAUUCAAUAGUUACGUCUUCCCAUUCUGUACAUUGCCUUUGCCCCAAUGAUUUUCAAAACUGCUGUUGGUUCCAAGCCAUUCUUAACGAUUAGAUGGUACUUAAUACUUUACAAUUAUGUUUACUCAUUCCAAACUUAAUGGUUUAGAUAAACUAUUCUUCUAUGUUGCA